AAACUUACUUGGCAGGGAGGAUACCAUGAUCACGAAGGUGGUUUUCCCAGGGUGAGGCUUAUCCACUGCACUCCGGAUGUGUUGACCCCUGCGAUUUCCCCAAAUGUGAGAAACUCGACUGCAUAAUUUGUGGUAGUGGGGGACGCAUUCUCGCCUUCCCCUG
ensembl:snRNA U1 U1 spliceosomal RNA